AGUCGCACGAGAAAGGGGGCAACCCUGAGUACAGUGGCGUACGGGUGAGUAACACGUGGAUCAUCUACCUUUUAGUGGGGAAUACCCCUGGGAAACCGGGGACAAUACCGCAUAAGCCCGCAAGGGGAAAGCAGCAAUGCGCUGAAAGAGGAGUCCGCGGCUGAUUAGCUAGUUGGUGAGGUAACGGCCCACCAAGGCGAAGAUCGGUAGCCGGCCUGAGAGGGCACUCGGCCACACUGGCACUGAAAUACGGGCCAGACUCCUACGGGAGGCAGCAGUGGGGAAUCUUGCACAAUGGAGGCAACUCUGAUGCAGCGACGCCGCGUGAGCGAUGAAGCCCUUCGGGGUGUAAAGCUCUUUCGACAGGAACGAUAAUGACGGUACCUGGAGAAGAAGCUGCGGCUAACUACGUGCCAGCAGCCGCGGUAAUACGUAGGCAGCAAGCGUUGUUCGGAAUUAUUGGGCGUAAAGAGUGUGUAGGCGGUGUUCCAAGUCUGUCGUGAAAUCUCCCGGCUUAACUGGGAGGGUGCGGCGGAAACUGGAAUGCUAGAGGGUGGGAGAGGUAAGCGGAAUUCCUGGUGUAGCGGUGAAAUGCGUAGAUAUCAGGAGGAACACCUGUGGUGUAGACAGCUUACUGG
rnacentral:rRNA from 1 species